rnacentral:rRNA from 1 species
AUUGAUUUUAUGCUUGCAUAAAUGAUUUUUUGGAUUCGGAGCGAGUGGCGAACUGGUGAGUAACACGUGGGUAACCUGCCCCGAAGCGGGGGAUAACAUUUGGAAACAAGUGCUAAUACCGCAUAAUUAGUUGGAACCGCAUGGUUCCAACUUGAAAGAUGGCUCUGCUAUCACUUUGGGAUGGACCCGCGCCGUAUUAGUUAGUUGGUGAGAUAAAAGCCCACCAAGACGAUGAUACGUAGCCGACCUGAGAGGGUAAUCGGCCACAUUGGGACUGAGACACGGCCCAGACUCCUACGGGAGGCAGCAGUAGGGAAUCUUCCACAAUGGACGAAAGUCUGAUGGAGCAACGCCGCGUGAGUGAUGAAGGUUUUCGGAUCGUAAAACUCUGUUGUUAAAGAAGAACAAGUGUUAGAGUAACUGUUAACACUUUGACGGUAUUUAACCAGAAAGCCACGGCUAACUACGUGCCAGCAGCCGCGGUAAUACGUAGGUGGCAAGCGUUGUCCGGAUUUAUUGGGCGUAAAGCGAGCGCAGGCGGUUUUGUAAGUCUGCUGUGAAAGCUCUCAGCUCAACUGAGGAAGUGCAGUGGAAACUACAAAACUUGAGUACAGAAGAGGAAAGUGGAACUCCAUGUGUAGCGGUGAAAUGCGUAGAUAUAUGGAAGAACACCAGUGGCGAAGGCGGCUUUCUGGUCUGUUACUGACGCUGAGGCUCGAAAGCAUGGGUAGCGAACAGGAUUAGAUACCCUGGUAGUCCAUGCCGUAAACGAUGAAUACUAGGUGUUGGAGGGUUUCCGCCCUUCAGUGCCGCAGCUAACGCAUUAAGUAUUCCGCCUGGGGAGUACGACCGCAAGGUUGAAACUCAAAGGAAUUGACGGGGGCCCGCCCAAGUGGUGGAGCAUGUGGUUUAAUUCGAUGCUACGCGAAGAACCUUACCAGCUCUUGACAUCUUCUGCCAACCCAAGAGAUUGGGCGUUCCCUUCGGGGACAGAAUGACAGGUGGUGCAUGGUUGUCGUCAGCUCGUGUCGUGAGAUGUUGGGUUAAGUCCCGCAACGGGCGCAACCCUUAUUAUUAGUUGCCAGCAUUCAGUUGGGCACUCUAGUGAGACUGCCGGUGAUAAA